GGGUUGUGAGGUUAAGCGACUAAGCGUACACGGUGGAUGCCCUGGCAGUCAGAGGCGAUGAAGGACGUGCUAAUCUGCGAUAAGCGUCGGUGAGGUGAUAUGAACCGUUAUAACCGGCGAUUUCCGAAUGGGGAAACCCAGUGUGUUUCGACACACUAUCAUUAACUGAAUCCAUAGGUUAAUGAGGCGAACCGGGGGAACUGGAAACAUCUAAGUACCCCGAGGAAAAGAAAUCAACCGAGAUUCCCCCAGUAGCGGCGAGCGAACGGGGAGGAGCCCAGAGCCUGAAUCAGUGUGUGUGUUAGUGGAAGCGUCUGGAAAGGCGCGCGAUACCGGGUGACAGCCCCGUACACAAAAAUGCACAUACUGUGAGCUCGAUGAGUAGGGCGGGACACGUGGUAUCCUGUCUGAAUAUGGGGGGACCAUCCUCCAAGGCUAAAUACUCCUGACUGACCGAUAGUGAACCAGUACCGUGAGGGAAAGGCGAAAAGAACCCCGGCGAGGGGAGUGAAAAAGAACCUGAAACCGUGUACGUACAAGCAGUGGGAGCCUCUUAAUGGGGUGACUGCGUACCUUUGUAUAAUGGGUCAGCGACUUAUAUUCUGUAGCAAGGUUAACCGAAUAGGGGAGCCGAAGGGAAACCGAGUCUUAACUGGGCGCUAAGUUGCAGGGUAUAGACCCGAAACCCGGUGAUCUAGCCAUGGGCAGGUUGAAGGUUGGGUAACACUAACUGGAGGACCGAACCGACUAAUGUUGAAAAAUUAGCGGAUGACUUGUGGCUGGGGGUGAAAGGCCAAUCAAACCGGGAGAUAGCUGGUUCUCCCCGAAAGCUAUUUAGGUAGCGCCUCGUGAAUUCAUCUCCGGGGGUAGAGCACUGUUUCGGCAAGGGGGUCAUCCCGACUUACCAACCCGAUGCAAACUGCGAAUACCGGAGAAUGUUAUCACGGGAGACACACGGCGGGUGCUAACGUCCGUCGUGAAGAGGGAAACAACCCAGACCGCCAGCUAAGGUCCCAAAGUCAUGGUUAAGUGGGAAACGAUGUGGGAAGGCCCAGACAGCCAGGAUGUUGGCUUAGAAGCAGCCAUCAUUUAAAGAAAGCGUAAUAGCUCACUGGUCGAGUCGGCCUGCGCGGAAGAUGUAACGGGGCUAAACCAUGCACCGAAGCUGCGGCAGCGACGCUUAUGCGUUGUUGGGUAGGGGAGCGUUCUGUAAGCCUGUGAAGGUGGCCUGUGAGGGUUGCUGGAGGUAUCAGAAGUGCGAAUGCUGACAUAAGUAACGAUAAAGCGGGUGAAAAGCCCGCUCGCCGGAAGACCAAGGGUUCCUGUCCAACGUUAAUCGGGGCAGGGUGAGUCGACUCCUAAGGCGAGGCCGAAAGGCGUAGUCGAUGGGAAACAGGUUAAUAUUCCUGUACUUGGUGUUACUGCGAAGGGGGGGACGGAGAAGGCUAUGUUGGCCGGGCGACGGUUGUCCCGGUUUAAGCGUGUAGGCUGGUUUUCCAGGCAAAUCCGGAAAACCAAGGCUGAGGCGUGAUGACGAGGCACUACGGUGCUGAAGUGACAAAUGCCCUGCUUCCGGUGGAAAAGCCUCUAAGCAUCAGGUAACAUCAAAUCGUACCCCAAACCGACACAGGUGGUCAGGUAGAGAAUACCAAGGCGCUUGAGAGAACUCGGGUGAAGGAACUAGGCAAAAUGGUGCCGUAACUUCGGGAGAAGGCACGCUGAUAUGUAGGUGAAGCGACUUGCUCGUGGAGCUGAAAUCAGUCGAAGAUACCAGCUGGCUGCAACUGUUUAUUAAAAACACAGCACUGUGCAAACACGAAAGUGGACGUAUACGGUGUGACGCCUGCCCGGUGCCGGAAGGUUAAUUGAUGGGGUUAGCGGUAACGCGAAGCUCUUGAUCGAAGCCCCGGUAAACGGCGGCCGUAACUAUAACGGUCCUAAGGUAGCGAAAUUCCUUGUCGGGUAAGUUCCGACCUGCACGAAUGGCGUAAUGAUGGCCGGGGCUGUCUCCACCCGAGACUCAGUGAAAUUGAACUCGCUGUGAAGAUGCAGUGUACCCGCGGCAAGACGGAAAGACCCCGUGAACCUUUACUAUAGCUUGACACUGAACAUUGAGCCUUGAUGUGUAGGAUAGGUGGGAGGCUUUGAAGUGUGGACGCCAGUCUGCAUGGAGCCGACCUUGAAAUACCACCCUUUAAUGUUUGAUGUUCUAACGUUGGCCCGUAAUCCGGGUUGCGGACAGUGUCUGGUGGGUAGUUUGACUGGGGCGGUCUCCUCCUAAAGAGUAACGGAGGAGCACGAAGGUUGGCUAAUCCUGGUCGGACAUCAGGAGGUUAGUGCAAUGGCAUAAGCCAGCUUGACUGCGAGCGUGACGGCGCGAGCAGGUGCGAAAGCAGGUCAUAGUGAUCCGGUGGUUCUGAAUGGAAGGGCCAUCGCUCAACGGAUAAAAGGUACUCCGGGGAUAACAGGCUGAUACCGCCCAAGAGUUCAUAUCGACGGCGGUGUUUGGCACCUCGAUGUCGGCUCAUCACAUCCUGGGGCUGAAGUAGGUCCCAAGGGUAUGGCUGUUCGCCAUUUAAAGUGGUACGCGAGCUGGGUUUAGAACGUCGUGAGACAGUUCGGUCCCUAUCUGCCGUGGGCGCUGGAGAACUGAGGGGGGGCUGCUCCUAGUACGAGAGGACCGGAGUGGACGCAUCACUGGUGUUCGGGUUGUCAUGCCAAUGGCACUGCCCGGUAGCUAAAUGCGGAAGAGAUAAGUGCUGAAAGCAUCUAAGCACGAAACUUGCCCCGAGAUGAGUUCUCCCUGACUCCUUGAGGGUCCUGAAGGAACGUUGAAGACGACGACGUUGAUAGGCCGGGUGUGUAAGCGCAGCGAUGCGUUGAGCUAACCGGUACUAAUGAACCGUGAGGCUUAACCUUACAACGCCGAAG
rnacentral:rRNA from 1 species